ensembl:snRNA U6 U6 spliceosomal RNA
GUGCUCGCCUUGGCAGCACAUAUACUAAAAUGGAAUGAUAUAGAUACAAGAUUAGCAUGGCCCCUGCACAAGGAUGACUCGUAAGUUCAUGAAGCUUCCACAUUUGUU